GUGGAUAUGUUGGCAAUUCUAAUAGGAAGGACUAAGGAGGCUGGUCAGGUGGGUGGUUUAGUGCCUCACCUAGUGGACGGAGGUGUCUCUAUCCUAAAGUACGUCGAUGAUACGAUCAUCUUUAUGGAGCAUGACUUAGUGAAAGCGAGAAAUAUGAAGCUGGUGUUAUGCUUAUUUGAACAAUUGACCGGGUUAAAGUUUAACUUUCAUAAAAGCGAAUUGUUCUGUUUUGGAAGAGCCAAUGACGAACAAGAGGCUUAUAAGCAAUUGUUUGGGUGUGAAUUUGGGGCUUUACCUUUU
rnacentral:rRNA from 1 species